AUUGCCGAGUUAGUACGUCCUGCAAAAACUAGGAGACUCAAUGUCAUUGAUGGCAGGAAUGGAGCAGCAAGUUUGGAGAAGAUGGGUAAUCAAGAGCUUGUUAGCCGUAGCUAGAACCAUGGGAGACAAAGUCGUUCCAAUGGGGCAGACUGAACUCUCUAAAGAUGCUACAAUUGGCUAUCAUUUUUCUAAAACCUGCUUGUGGGUAAAGAAAAAAGACCGAGAGUCAAAUCCCUGCUAGUAGUGUUGCAUCAAUAUACCCCAAGCUUUAUGCUUUUAGGGAAGGUUGCACCUGAAGAUCUUUGCAGCUGUCAUGGUAGCUUGAAAGAAAUGAUGAAUUGUCAUGGAGUCUUCCAAAGAGAAAAGUGAAGAGAUUGCUCAGCCAUCAUGAUGAGCACCUUUCUUAACCUGAGGCACACCUUGUUGAUGAUCCAUGCAUCUAAUGAGGACUUGGAAGUUAAUUUCAAGGUUAGACUAACGUUGAUUGAAAUUGCCAGAAAAUUCAAGAACUAUCGAUGGCAGGUGUUGCCCCAGUGGAACUACCUUUUAACCAAGACGUUGUUCUCACUUUUAACAAAGACAUUGUUCUCAGUGCCAGAAAGGGUAACUACACAAUUAGUAUUGGAGGAAUGGAAGCGGCUGUGGAAAUUGUAAGGAGGGGAAAAGAUUUUUCCAUAUUACAUAUUCAUUCCAGUGGGCCACACUAUGAUGGGCUACCCUCACAUUGUUUGAGAAGAUCUGUAAAACAAACACAGGUUCCAAUCUCCACUCACCAUGACCAAAGAGACUCAACAGAGAACUAUUGAAGUCAUUCAAUGGAGCAGCGCAGGGUUGCUUGCGAGGAAAUGGGGAGGGGGAAGCAAUUGCAUGAUCUAAAUCAAUGUGUAUGGAACCACCUCAGACACAAGACAUUAUCAAGGAGACCAGGGUUCAUGUUUUGGCAGAUGUCUUGGAACAGCCCAUGCGAAAACCCCAGCAACAGGCCCAGAUCUGAUGGGCAGAAGGACCUGCAAUCAACUUGAUGGAAGCAGAGAUGUUAUAGUUCUGUUGGGGGCGAUGGAGUUGCUGCAGCAGCUUAUAAAGAACAGAGCCACAGUUACAAGGGAUGCCAGUGCCGUUCGGAUAGCUCUGGCGAUCGUCGAGUAGCGCCAGGAAGUCGAAACUUUUCCGCCCAACCUGAUUUCUCGCAGCCUCUUUUGCACGACCUCUCCGGUGUUGCCUGCCUUCCGACGAAAAGCUGCCCAUUGAUCCUUCUCCAUUGUCGACUUACCAAGAUCCACUGUGUCGGUCUCUCUCUCUGUAUAUGCAUCGAUAUUUCUUCUUCUUCACUAUUCAAUGGUUCCUUUUGCAGAUAUGCUAUACCCAUCUGGAGUUUUGCCGUCGCUUGUCUCUGUGAGCGUCGAUCGUGACAAGUCGAUCACUUUUGCAGAUACGCUAAACUCAUCUUCAGUUUGUUCGUUUUUAUCAUUUGUUCUAAAAUUUCUGCUUCUGAGCAUUUUUCCAGGUUGUUCAAGAAUUUCACAUGUUCUGUUGUCAAAUUAUGUAUUACAUUCAUUUGCUCUAAAGAAAUUUCUGUGUUCUUUCCAAGAAAGGUAAAAAAAUAUUUCACUGACUUGCUUAUCUUGUUGAAAAGCACAAUGAUGAGCUUGCAAGAAGACGACAGUUGCUGAUCUUCACUGGUAUUCUUUUGUAUUGUGAUACUGUGAUCACGUAUUUUUAUCUUAGUCUAUUUUUUUUGUUUUCGCAGUAUGUUCUUCCCAGUGCGGUUGCAAAUUAGGGGCUAAUAAAGUUUUGGGAAAGAAGAGAAACAGAGAGAAAGAGGAAAACGAGAGAAGAGAGAGUGAUUUUAUUGAUUGUCGACUUCACAAUGCAUACACACCCUUGUGUGCAAACAUGUUCAUCCAUGCACUGACCCACGUUCAAAGGGACAUCAUCCAUCUAUUCUUGUCUGCUUUGGUACAAGGGGUGUAAUGUUGCGGUAGUCCUUAAUACUUGUCACCUUGGAAGAAGUAUUUGAAGGCCGAAGCCCAUAAUCAUAUAAUUAGCAUUCAACCACUUUUAAGUAUCUAUCAGCUUAACAAAGGAAUCAUAGUACCAAAUGGAGCAACAAAAGUUAUAUAGCUGUGGACACUAAUUCACAUUUUUAUAUGUAUAUUAAGCUUCCAGGUGAAUGAGAGGAUUAGGACCCGCCAUCCAGAAAAGAACCUAUUUUUCGACUACUCAAAAAUCUGGGGUUCUUUUGCUUUGCUGUUUGUCCUCUUUUUCUGGCUUAAUGGAUUAUUUUCCUGUUAGUCACGCUUAUUUGAUAUGUGCCAGUAGGGUUACUGUAAGGAAUUCAUAAGCGAGAUUAACAAGAUUGCAUCUUUGCAACAUCUUCAUAUUUGUAAACAGAUUGGAUUUCAUGCACGUGAAGGCUCUGAUCAUUGAAUUCUGGUUUUUUGAGAGACUUCCAUGGGAGCUUGGAUCGGCUGCUUUAUGGCAGACCUGAUGGACCUCCAAUCAACUGGAGUUUAUUUAAAACAUGAAGGCUUGCUUGUUCUGCUAUUUCUGAAUUUCUCAGAAUUUGCAUUUCUUAAUCAAUCUUAAGAAAAAUUAUGUCCAUUUGUGUGCUGAUGGAUGUGGCAGUCUUGCAUAUAUCGUACAUUUUUUUGCAUUUUUCUUCUUAUUUCCUAAUUCUUUUUGUGCAUUUGAGGUUCAAUUCAUGGGUUCCAUAAAGAAGCUGUUAGAACCCAAUGGAAUAAUGUACCCAUACAAAGUUCUUCCUCCGUCCGUACUUUGCUAAAGGUUUGCAUGUGAGAGAAUACCAGACUACGGCAAUACUUGCAAUUGUAUAUGCAGAUUGAUCGUUGAUGUUGGAGAGCAUGAAAUACAUGGUUUGCCAGAAGAGGUGAGCAACAAGCCAGAAAAUAGAGAGGUUUUCCCGUCACUAGUUUUACGUGCCAACCAAAUAUGAUGCUGCUGCUAGGUGGAACCCAUUAGAGAGAGAGAGAGAGAGAGAGGCAGUUGAGGCGUGCUAGUGCCUCAAAGCCCUGCUUUUACUUGUGGUUUAGGGAGAUAUACCGGUGACAGUACAGUAUCGGCCAAGUUAAUCACCGUUAUAGAUCUAUAUCGGUGAUUUGGCCGUCACCGUCACCGUUAUCAUUUUGGUCUGCAUAUGGGCCAUUUUGUAAUUCUUAUA